rnacentral:rRNA from 1 species
UACAGAGGAGCCAAGCGUUGUCCGGAUUGACUGGGCGUAAAGCGCACGCAGGCGGACGCGCGCGUGGGUGUGAAAUCUGGCCGCUUAACGGCCAGGCGCCAUCCCAUACGGCGCGUCUGGAGCCAUGCAGAGGGCGGUGGAAUUGCCGGUGUAGUGGUGAAAUGCGUAGAGAUCGGCAGGAACACCCAGGGGAAACCAGCCGCCUGGGCAUGCGCUGACGCUGAGGUGCGAGACGCGUGGGGAGCGAACCGG